GUUUGAUCCUGGCUCAGAACGAACGCUGGCGGCAUGCCUAACACAUGCAAGUCGAACGAACCCUUCGGGGUUAGUGGCGCACGGGUGCGUAACGCGUGGGAACCUGCCUUUAGGUUCGGAAUAACAGUUAGAAAUGACUGCUAAUACCGGAUGAUGUCUUCGGACCAAAGAUUUAUCGCCUUUAGAUGGGCCCGCGUUGGAUUAGCUAGUUGGUGGGGUAAAGGCCUACCAAGGCGACGAUCCAUAGCUGGUCUGAGAGGAUGAUCAGCCACACUGGGACUGAGACACGGCCCAGACUCCUACGGGAGGCAGCAGUGGGGAAUAUUGGACAAUGGGCGAAAGCCUGAUCCAGCAAUGCCGCGUGAGUGAUGAAGGCCUUAGGGUUGUAAAGCUCUUUUACCAGGGAUGAUAAUGACAGUACCUGGAGAAUAAGCUCCGGCUAACUCCGUG
rnacentral:rRNA from 1 species